rnacentral:lncRNA from 1 species
AUGAUAUUUCUGGUGUUGGUGGUUCUAUGGCUGGAAAUGGAGCUUUUGAUGCAAUUGUGAGUGAUGGAACCCACACUUUUUUAUGUUUAAGACGCGUUGUUUGUCAUAAAAAGGAAAGGUGACGUAUAAAAAUGUAAUUUUACAUCAUGUACAACAUUAGAAGCAGCAUAUACAACAUUGUGUAAGCAGAGAAAAUUAGAAAGUGUUUGUGGUUUUUUAAGACGCUGGAAGGGCACAAUUGACAAUUCAACCUCCUUGACUUUAAUUGCCAUAGUAAUUGAAUGCCAAUUGAAUGCGGUCUUCAUCACCACCGGUUCGUUUUCUCAUCAACAAUCAAUGAAAUCAUCAUGUUUACUGGUGAAUUGAUCAAUUGAAACUGAUUUUAAACUUGAAUUGAAGCAGCCCCUUCGUUUCCAGACCCACCCCCUUAUUACUCGGCAAUUGAACGCCUUUGUUGGUUCGUUUUGGGUGAAUAAUGUUGUUUUCGCGAGCGGUGGCUUGGUUUCCGGUGGCUACAAAUGAAAUUGGUAGUGAUGGUCAGACAUUAGCAUAGAUUCAGGCCAAUUCCGGUCACGCCAAUAAGUCCAGCGGAAUCCAUUCCGGUGACCUCGAAUUUAAGAACCCUAAAAUCCAAAAUCAUCCCUGACGCGAUUAAGUGUUAAUCUGAGAAGUUUAGUGGACUAGAACAGGCACAAUUUCAUCCCACCUACAUCGCGCAUGACUAACAGUUGGUUAAUGAUGCAAUCGAUUUGUAUAUAAACAGUUUUAGAUACGAAGAACACUUCAUUCUCUGCAAACCAAGAUAGUGCUAUCAGUGAGGAAUGCAGAGUUGCUUGGGAUAUAUGUUAAUAAGAGAGUUGAUGUGUUCAUGGGCUGCUUAGUAGUGGGCUGGGCUUGCAUAGAAGACAUCAUAAAUAGAUAAUGCUAAGGGGCUGGAGCUAAUGCGGGCUGAUGAUGGGCUUGCUGAUGGGUCAUGCCUGUUCGUGUGUUAAAGACUGGAGGCCUUUGAAGGCCGUGUAUAAAACGCUACGAGACAACAGACCUGAAGUGUGAGUUUUCAUUCAGUCAUCGAGAGAGUUCCAGAGUCUUCAUUCACACAAUAUAGAUUCUCUCUAGUUGAUUCACAUGUCUCGUUCGCGAUACUAUUAGGGUUUCUUGUUAGAUCAUUAUAGGGAUCGUUGUGUCGAUGGUACUCUAUAUUUUUGUAAUUGUUUCUGUUUCAGAGAUUCUUCCAGUAGUUGUGUUUUUGGGUUUCUCGUAAUACAUGUUCGCUCAGCUGUUCAUUCUCAUAUUUCACUAAAAUCUAGGGUUUCUUGUAAUUCUACAUGUUGAAAAGUUAUCAAUAAAACCUGAUUACCAUU